GCCGAAGGUGGGGCUAAUGACUGGGGUGAAGUCGUAACAAGGUAGCCGUACCGGAAGGUGCGGCUGGAUCACCUCCUAACAGGGAGACAACAAAAUGUUUAAUAUUAUUAUUUUGUCACCUUAGGUCGAUCGGUAUCUCAUGUUCUUAAUUUAUUAAGAAUUUCAUUUCCUAAGUUUUUCUAGGUCACACCCAUUAUUUUUCCUGGGCCAUUAGCUCAGGUGGUUAGAGCGCACCCCUGAUAAGGGUGAGGUCCCUGGUUCAAGUCCAGGAUGGCCCAUAUCUCUAUGUUGGGGGUAUAGCUCAGUUGGUAGAGCGCCUGCUUUGCAAGCAGGAUGUCAGCGGUUCGAGUCCGCUUACCUCCACUGAUUACCACCUCUUCCAUAAUCGGUAGAAAGGAAAUCUUUUGAGUUGUGAUUAUUAUUCUGAACGAAUCUAGCUUCCUAAUGAAAUCAUUAAGAUGCUGGACUCAUUGAAUUAAUUUCAUUGUUUUCAGAGAACCUUGACAACUGCAUAGAUUAUUUUUAAAGACAAUAAGCAUCUUUAAUGAUGCAGAUUUAUUAUUUGUGCGAAUGCAUUAAUAACAAUUCUAUUAAGCUGAUGCUUCAAUUUUUGAAGUUAUUGGUCAAGCUACAAAGGGCUCACGGAGGAUACCUAGGCACACAGAGGC
rnacentral:misc_RNA from 1 species